CCAGUUGUUACUCAAUUUGGUAAGAGAUUGAUCACCUCUGCUAAUUCUAAUAGUGACAACUUAUCUUUACACAUUAGACAGCAAAAUUCUCAAAACGUUAAGGUUAAAAAUGUUGAAAAAAUAAAAGUUAAAGAUGUUUCGGUAAAAGUAAACAUUGAAAAAAAUAAGGUAAAGGGUAACAAAAAUAAAAGGAAAAGGACAAAUAGGAAAAAGAAAAAAUGUCCAAAAAUUUCAAAUGAUUCGAAGAUAGAUCUAGGUAAUGAGUGCACACAUUAUCAGGUUAAUAUCGAC